rnacentral:snRNA from 1 species
AUGCUUGUUUUGGCAGCGCCUAUGCUAAAAUGGGAAUGACACAUCGAAGAUGGCAUGGCCCCCAAGGGCAACAUGCAGAUUUGUGAAGCAUUUCACAUUUUU